AACGCUGGCGGCGUGCUUAACACAUGCAAGUCGAACGGAAAGGCCCUGCUUUUGUGGGGUGCUCGAGUGGCGAACGGGUGAGUAACACGUGAGUAACCUGCCCUUGACUUUUGGAUAACUUCAGGAAACUGGGGCUAAUACCGGAUAGGAGCUCCUGCUGCAUGGUGGGGGUUGGAAAGUUUCGGCGGUUGGGGAUGGACUCGCGGCUUAUCAGCUUGUUGGUGGGGUAGUGGCUUACCAAGGCUUUGACGGGUAGCCGGCCUGAGAGGGUGACCGGCCACAUUGGGACUGAGAUACGGCCCAGACUCCUACGGGAGGCAGCAGUGGGGAAUAUUGCACAAUGGGCGGAAGCCUGAUGCAGCAACGCCGCGUGCGGGAUGACGGCCUUCGGGUUGUAAACCGCUUUCGCCUGUGACGAAGCGUGAGUGACGGUAAUGGGUAAAGAAGCACCGGCUAACUACGUG
rnacentral:rRNA from 1 species